AGGUGUAAAUCUGGGAUACUGUAUAUAAGGGAGUCCCAAAUGCAGCUCAACACAACAACCUUCUUGUCAAGUCAAGCAGAGAAGACUCUACGCUGAAAUCACUGCAGCCAUGCUGAAGGUAGCACUUAUCCUUGGAUGCCUCCUGAGCCUCAUUGUGGCUACACCAAUGGAGCACCAGCGAGUUGCUCGCUCCAGCUCUGGAUCCAAUUCCAAUGAGGUCUCAACAACCAACUUGGCCACCCUGCUAACCCAGCUCCUGCGGCUUCUAGUCACAACCACAACUACAACUACAACUGCAGCCACAACUACAACAAAAGCUGCUACUACAUAAAAUGGAGACUUGAACAUCAGCUAAUUUGUCAUGUAUUGCUGAGAAAGUUAUCUUCUUUUUCUUUGUCAGUUUUAAAUACUACUGAUCAGUCAUGUUCGGCAUCUGAUCAUUAAAGUUUGGCAACAAAAAAAAACCCUGUGACUGCUCCUUUUUUC